rnacentral:lncRNA from 1 species
AAUAACUUGGUAAGCAAUAUUUCACAAUAUUUCAGAUUUCUUGAUCUUUGUUUCAGUUUCAGGGUACCUGCAGAAUACAGACAUUUUGAGUUAAGAAAACCACACGUCUAUCUUCAAAAUUGAGAUUACCCUCUAUAUUUCAUUUUUCAUAAUUGCACAGAAAUGACAUCACCCAAUUUUCCAAAUUAUAUGACUUGAAUUUCACACUGGAUGUUUCAAAAAUUUGUUGAUUAACUUAUUGGAUAGUGACUCACUCAUUCACAGCUGGCUUUCACUCCAGACUUUUGUUCUCUUUUCUUCAAGCUGUUUACGUCUUAUUAACCAUUCAAAAUGCUUCUCAGCCCCCACCUCCUCUGUGAAGCUUUCUCUGACCAACUCCCAACCCCUCAAGCUUUCUCCACUCUCUCUGCCCCCUCCUUACCUGGCUGGGGUCACACUGGGCUUCAUUUAUCUCUUUACACAUCUGCCCCCUUUGUCUCCCCUGCUAGAUAGAGCAACGUCAUUAAGAAAAGUGUUUUUCUCUGUUUGUUGCCCAAGGGAGAUUUACUCUCUUCCCCUUUAACAAAAUGUUUUCUCACAGACUACAGCCUUGUAGCAGCAUG